rnacentral:lncRNA from 1 species
UUGAAUGCAUUGAGUUACAAGCCAGCUAAAACAAAUGCUACCUUGUGUGGAAAUCACAAUGAAGAAGAGUUGCUAAGUUCCUUCAAUUCCUCAAAAUGCUUUCUCCCUUACUUCCCACCUUUCCCUUGGCCAUAUCCUCUGCCCCAAUUUCCUCCACUGCCUCCAUUACCUUUCCCUCCUUUACCACCAUACUCAUCACUACCUUUUCCUCCAUUACCACCACUUCCAUCUUUCCCAUUUCCUCCCUUUCCAUUUCCAUACUCAUCACCACCUUCUUUGCCUUUCCCAUUCCCACCUCUUCCACCAACACCAUCUUUCUUUCAGCCACCGCCUCCGCCAGCUUUUAAUCUAGGUGAUCCAAGAACUUGGAUACCUCAUAUUCCUUCAUUAUCAUUACCUCCUCCACCUCCACCUCCACCAGCUUUUAAUCUAGGUGAUCCAAGGACUUGGAUACCUCAUAUUCCUUCAUUAUCAUCACCUCCUCCUCCACCUGCAUUUAAUCUAAGAGAUCCAAGAACCUGGAUACCGUACCUCCCUCCAUCUCCACCCAAUAGCCCUCAGAAUCAAAACCCAUAAUAGGUUUGCUCAAGUUAUUUCAAAAUUGGUGUGUUUAAUAUGUCAUUAUUUAUAAAUUACAUGAGCUUU